rnacentral:rRNA from 1 species
GAUGAACGCUAGCUACAGGCUUAACACAUGCAAGUCGAGGGGUAGCAGGGUAGCAAUACCGCUGACGACCGGCGCACGGGUGAGUAACACGUAUCCAACCUUCCCAUAACUCGGGGAUAGCCUUUCGAAAGAAAGAUUAAUACCCGAUAGUACUUUUUCAAGGCAUCUUGAAAAAGUUAAAGAUUUAUUGGUUAUGGAUGGGGAUGCGUUCCAUUAGAUAGUUGGUGAGGUAACGGCUCACCAAGUCUUCGAUGGGUAGGGGUUCUGAGAGGAAGGUCCCCACAUUGGUACUGAGACACGGACCAAACUCCUACGGGAGGCAGCAGUGAGGAAUAUUGGUCAAUGGGCGAGAGCCUGAACCAGCCAAGUAGCGUGAAGGAUGAAGGUCCUAUGGAUUGUAAACUUCUUUUAUAGUAGAAUAAAGUGAUCCACGUGUGGAUUUUUGUAUGUAUACUAUGAAUAAGGAUCGGCUAACUCCGUGCCAGCCGCCGCGGUAA